rnacentral:rRNA from 1 species
GAGUUUGAUCAUGGCUCAGAUUGAACGCUGGCGGCAGGCCUAACACAUGCAAGUCGAACGGUAACAGGAAGAAGCUUGCUUCUUUGCUGACGAGUGGCGGACGGGUGAGUAAUGUCUGGGAAACUGCCUGAUGGAGGGGGAUAACUACUGGAAACGGUAGCUAAUACCGCAUAACGUCGCAAGACCAAAGAGGGGGACCUUCGGGCCUCUUGCCAUCGGAUGUGCCCAGAUGGGAUUAGCUAGUAGGUGGGGUAACGGCUCACCUAGGCGACGAUCCCUAGCUGGUCUGAGAGGAUGACCAGCCACACUGGAACUGAGACACGGUCCAGACUCCUACGGGAGGCAGCAGUGGGGAAUAUUGCACAAUGGGCGCAAGCCUGAUGCAGCCAUGCCGCGUGUAUGAAGAAGGCCUUCGGGUUGUAAAGUACUUUCAGCGGGGAGGAAGGGAGUAAAGUUAAUACCUUUGCUCAUUGACGUUACCCGCAGAAGAAGCACCGGCUAACUCCGUGCCAGCGGCCGCGGUAAUACGGAGGGUGCAAGCGUUAAUCGGAAUUACUGGGCGUAAAGCGCACGCAGGCGGUUUGUUAAGUCAGAUGUGAAAUCCCCGGGCUCAACCUGGGAACUGCAUCUGAUACUGGCAAGCUUGAGUCUCGUAGAGGGGGGUAGAAUUCCAGGUGUAGCGGUGAAAUGCGUAGAGAUCUGGAGGAAUACCGGUGGCGAAGGCGGCCCCCUGGACGAAGACUGACGCUCAGGUGCGAAAGCGUGGGGAGCAAACAGGAUUAGAUACCCUGGUAGUCCACGCCGUAAACGAUGUCGACUUGGAGGUUGUGCCCUUGAGGCGUGGCUUCCGGAGCUAACGCGUUAAGUCGACCGCCUGGGGAGUACGGCCGCAAGGUUAAAACUCAAAUGAAUUGACGGGGGCCCGCACAAGCGGUGGAGCAUGUGGUUUAAUUCGAUGCAACGCGAAGAACCUUACCUGGUCUUGACAUCCACGGAAGUUUUCAGAGAUGAGAAUGUGCCUUCGGGAACCGUGAGACAGGUGCUGCAUGGCUGUCGUCAGCUCGUGUUGUGAAAUGUUGGGUUAAGUCCCGCAACGAACGCAACCCUUAUCCUUUGUUGCCAGUGGUCCGGCCGGGAACUCAAAGGAGACUGCCAGUGAUAAACUGGAGGAAGGUGGGGAUGACGUCAAGUCAUCAUGGCCCUUACGACCAGGGCUACACACGUGCUACAAUGGCGCAUACAAAGAGAAGCGACCUCGCGAGAGCAAGCGGACCUCAUAAAGUGCGUCGUAGUCCGGAUUGGAGUCUGCAACUCGACUCCAUGAAGUCGGAAUCGCUAGUAAUCGUGGAUCAGAAUGCCACGGUGAAUACGUUCCCGGGCCUUGUACACACCGCCCGUCACACCAUGGGAGUGGGUUGCAAAAGAAGUAGGUAGCUUAACCUUCGGGAGGGCGCUUACCACUUUGUGAUUCAUGACUGGGGUGAAGUCGGAACAAGGUA